CCUACGGGAGGCAGCAGUGAGGAAUAUUGGUCAAUGGUCGGGAGACUGAACCAGCCAAGCCGCGUGAGGGAUGAAGGUACAGAGUAUCGUAAACCUCUGUUGUCAGGGAACAAAGGCGGGGACGUGUCCCCGGAUGAGUGUACCUGAAGAAAAAGCAUCGGCGAACUCCGUGCCAGCAGCCGCGGUAAUACGGAGGAUGCGAGCGUUAUCCGGAUGUAUUGGGGGAAAAGGGUGCGUAGGCGGAAAGCCAAGUCAGCGGUAAAAUCGCGGGGCUCAACUUCGGUCCGCCGUUGAAACUGGCGUUCUUGAGUGGGCGAGAGGUAGGCGGAAUGCGUGGUGUAGCGGUGAAAUGCAUAGAUAUCACGCAGAACUCCGAUUGCGAAGGCAGCAUACCGGCGCCCAACUGACGCUGAAGCACGAAAGCGUGGGUAUCGAACAGGAUUAGAUACCCCAGUAGUC
rnacentral:rRNA from 1 species